rnacentral:rRNA from 1 species
AAUGCCCUAGGGGGGCAGCAGUGGGGGAUAUUGCACAAUGGGGGAAACCCUGAUGCAGCGACGCCGCGUGUGGGAAGACGGUCCUCUGGAUUGUAAACCACUGUCCCCAGGGACGAAAAUGACGGUACCUGGGGAGGAAGCUCCGGCUAACUACGUGCCAGCAGCCGCGGUAAUACGUAGGGAGCGAGCGUUGUCCGGAAUUACUGGGUGUAAAGGGAGCGUAGGCGGGGAUGCAAGUUGGGUGUCAAAACUACCGGCUCAACUGGUAGUCGCACUCAAAACUGCAGCUCUUGAGUGAAGUAGAG